GGGGGGGGGGGUCCACACUGUGGGCUCCAUGCUUUCUGCCUGAAUGUGGCUUGCAGCAUUCGUGUCCCAUUUCACAGUCAAAGCACUGUCUGUGGCAAACAUAGCACUAAUGGGGAAAUGAAUACAGAUGGUCCCUGACUUAGGAGAAUUUGAUUUACAAUUUUUGAUUUCAUGAUGGUGGAAUAGCGAUAUGUCCGUAAUUUGAAUUUUGAUCCUUGCCUGAAGUUGGGGCUGUGCUAUAUAAAACUCUCUGAUGCAGCUGGGGCCACAGUUCCUGGUCAGCCGUGGGACCACCAGGGCAGCAGCUCAUUACCCUAUAGUGUCCCUUGUUGCUAAGCAAGCAUAUGUGGCACGUUCCACAUCUUAAAUUCAUUUCUGACAGGAUAAUUUGAACUCACAGUGGUUUAUGGGGACAUACCCCAUAAAUCCUGGAGCAUGGUACUUGAAAACCAUGGUACAGUCUGCCUCUGAUGAGCAGAAGCUGCUGUAAUUAGACACAAGUGAGACUGGCUUUGGCCACGGUGGUAGCAGCUGAGGUGGUGAGAGAAGUUGAUUAUUGAAUAAAAUUUAGUACAAAAGAAAAGACAAGUUUUUGAGUUUUGAUCUGAGAACCUUGAUGAGCAGUGAGUGAUACUUUCACUAAGGGAAGAGCAGGGUUGGGGGAAAAUUAAAUUCCAUUCUCAAGCUGCCAGGUUUGUGAUUUCUGAUGUGGGGAAGACUGGUUUUGUGGUAAAUCUGAGAGUCACUAGCGUACAGACGGACGCAAAGGUGCAGGGCCAGAUGAGAUCCCAGAGCGAGCGAGACCAGGCGGAGGAAACCUGGCUGAGGCCGAGACAGGCCCGCCAGCAUGUAACAGUCAGGAAGAAGAGAACUGAGUACAGCAGGAGACAGGGUGGUGGAGAAGUGGGGAAAGAGACUGUGGGCUGCCCAGAAGCCCCUCAGGAAGCAUUUCACCAAGAGAAAAUAGAGUCCACACACUGAAUUAAAGCCCGCCGAUGUGGGGGAUGAGGUGUCACUUUGUAGGCCCAACCCCCUCUAACCUGCAAUUUACAAUAGCCGCCCUGGUAUGCGAGAAGGAGGUAGAAUAGGAAUGCCUGUUCUCAGUGAGCCCCUCACCCUCUGGAAUCCAUACUGUGAGCUGGCUUUGUUUUGCAGAAGUCUUGAGGAAGUGGCUGGCCACCCUUUGUGACACUAACAGCAGACAAAUUAACAACAUUCUUGAGCUAAUGAAUUUCUUCCUGGGCUAGAGAAGUUAUGAGAACUGGUUGUGAUUAUUUACUUCACUUAGAUAGCUUUAGAAUAAACAUUGUAGUCUGUCACGUUGUAGCUUGCCACAAAGAAUGCCUUUUCACUACUUAAUUAUCUGGGCUCUGUGAACUGAUCGGGUUUACUAUAUAUGAAUCCUAAAAUAAAGAUUGUGCGUGCAGUGCAGUGUAACGCGGUGCAGACAGUAAAGGUGUCUCUCCUGUCUUUCUUUUCCGAGCACUGUACCCCCCGUGUCCCGAUCAGGCGUGUGUGCGUGUUUACCUUGCCCGGAGUUCAGAGUGCUCUAAGACACUCACGACACACCGAGACAUGGACCAGAGGUCCCUGUGACCCUGACAGGCCACCAGCGGCCUCGCUGCGCUGCUUGGUGGGGACGACAGUCUCACUGGGAGGGUGGAGAGAUGCCCGUGCGGCUGUCCGAUUGCAAGUCCAAAGCCUGCUUUGUUUCACUAAACUGCACGGCCAGGUCUCACGGACAGAGCGGGCCUUCAGCAGUGCUAAGGAACCAGAGCUCUCUGCAUCCCUCAGCCCGGGAACAGCUGCCUGAAAUCCUGGAGCAACCCCUGGGGCAGAACUGAGGUCACUGCCUUCCUUCUGUGAGCGUGAGGCAGAGAGGGAUUUGUGCAGAAAUCUGUCUCUUUCCAUUUCAGCUCCAGGCAGUCUCCCUGACUGAUGGGACAAGGUGUCCCUGUGUGAGGCCCCUUCCCGCAGAGAUGCAGGGAGAGGCUAGAAAAAUACAUGCUUCUCAUUUACUGUCCUGCAUCCAGCACAGGAAAUCAGAUUUGCUUCCAAGAGCAACACUUGAAUUAAAUGAGGUAAUUUUACUCCGGAAUCAUAGUCCAGGGGACUUUCGAAAGUAAUAAAGCAGACAGAAAAGCCGUGAGGUAAACGGAGAAAAGGCGGAGGAGGAAUGCGCGUGUGUUUCCGUGUUGGGCUCUGUCCAGCCCUGGCGUGGCCGCCGGCAGCUGUGUGUGCUGCGCCUGAGCCGGGCUGUGGGACCCGCGGUGCGGGCAGCUCCACUGCUGGGGCUCGGCCUCCUGGCGCUGGCUGUGCACGGAGCAAGCCGGGUCGGGAGGCUGGAAAGCCUCCCGGAGGGAGUUUCCCCAGACUCUGGAGUCUUCCAGAGACUGCACUUCUGGCCGCUGAGGAGCCCGUGCUUCCAGGCAGGGCAGCCUCGCAAAUCCUCAGGAGCCAGCAAGGAGGAGACUGAGUGCCCGGCACACACCAGCCUGGGAGCUGAGCCUGGCUCUCCCUGAUGAUGCGGGGAGGCCGGUCUUCCUCUCCGGCCCUGCACACCCGGAGUCCCUCCCACCCAGCUCGCUGGACCUCUUGGCUCUGCCUAUGAGGGCCAGGGCUCUCGGAGCCUCAUUUUCUUUCUGCCCACACAGAGGCAACGAUGUUUCUUUUAUUUGGAAAAUGAAGCGACAUGUGUUUCUGUUGUCCCUUGGCAUGUGACGCAUCUUCCUGAAAUUUGGUGGCUGAAAGCAGUGGUGGCUAUUACUGCUUGGUGGCUUGGCCUGGUUCCCUGUGCUGUAUGCUGGCAGUGACUCAUUUGAGGGCACCAACCUGGCAGCUGGGCCUGCCCCAGGAGUCCAGGGAGGGCUUGGGCAUGGUCUGGCACCGCCAUGCUCCUCCACAUGGCCUCCGUCUCCCACGUGGUGUCCCAGAUGGAAUCUGUGAGGAAUCUGUGAGGCAGAUUCCUCACAGCCAGAGAGGAGCUGCUUAGUGCUUUCAAGUCCAGCCCCUGAGAUGGCACAGUGUCACUUCUGUUACUUUCUGGAAGGGGAAGUGAAAGGGACUGUACCUCUUGGUGAGCUGAGCCUCAAGUGUGUCUGUGGAGGAAAGGUCCACUGGUGACCAUUGCCAGAGGCCGCCUCAAAUGAGUGAGUUGUGCAGUGCUGAAAUCCUUCACACUUCAGUGUUUUCCAGCCAGGAUCUGACUCCUAGCCUUUGCAUCUAGGACUUGACCCCGCCUGCUGCUCCUGCCUCAUUUCUUCCUGCAUGGACCUCUCUCUGCAAGGCGGUCACCUGCUGUGAGCCGGAAGGAGAGUCUUACUCCAGGGUGCCAAGCUGGAUCUCAUACGAUGCCACAUAACUGUGGGGCUGGCAGGUAGACCCAGCUCACAGACCCUGUGUAGGACCUGGUGAUGGAGACUGUUAGAACAUCCCUGACAGUUCAGCAAACUGUGGCUGCUGGAGCAGUUGAUUGGCUCCUCAACAGUCAUAGAAACUUCCUCAGCAGCCCUGCAGAAUGAGAGAAUUAUCUGGGUGACCCUGAUUCUCUCAAAGUUAGCAUGCAAAUAGUUCCGUUAUAGGUGCACAGAAUGAAGCUAAUUCAUUACAUGCAGUGUGGGCUUUCAGGGCUGUGAGUUUAAUUCUCUAGGAGAAAUCUGAUUGAGAUGGGUGUAUAGCUAGAGCUAUUCCUAUCAAGUUACUGAGAUUCCUCUCAUGAAUGUAUUUGCUCGCUCAGUCAUUCAUUUUGUCACCUGUUUAUUGGUUCAUUCAAGAAGUACUUAUGUAGUGGUGGACAUUCUCUUAUCACAAGCAUGAGAUUUGGUAACUGAAACUGACUUGAAUCAUCAUCAUCAGAUGAUGCUACCAAACCUAGAAUUGAGAAUCCAGGCAGGUGGAGUAACUUACUCAGACUCUUGGUGCUUAAUUAAGAUAGGGUCAGGUUAGAGCUACGUUCCCAGAGGAAGAGGCCAGUGCAGCCCAAUCUCUUAUUGCAAAGACAGGGAUAUGUGAUAUAUCUUAAUUUGCAUGUGAUUAUUAUGCUUCUUAUACUAACUUUCUUUGACUGCAGUCCAAAAGUACAGAAUGUAGCCUUUCCUUCUGGCUAUAUUAAUCUAGAAAGCCCUGUACUGCUGGGUGCUUUUGAGUUGGAGGUUUUCUUAGUCCUGGCUUUGAAUUUGCUUCAGUAGGUAAAGCAAUUCCGUUCCUAAAAGUUCCUCUUGUGGGCUAAUUCACACCACAAAAAUGCAAAUGCCCCUCAGUCUCUGGAAAGAGAGGCCCAGGACUGCUACUGAAGAGAGCAAUCUGGGAAACUGUCUUGACCCCAAGUGCUAAGCCCAGCCUUUUGCCAGUUUAAUUGUAAGCAGAAAAGCCACUAUCAAGAGGAUAAAAAUUGAGACUCAGACUUGGAAACUUAUUUGGAAACUGCAGGGCUCACUCUCUGCCUCAGUCGAGCCCGAAAGGCUCAAUUUCCUCAUUCUUCUGGGACUGGGUUAUGUACCAGUUGCCAUAAGAAAUCUGAUUUUAUUUUUACUGACAGACAAAAUUCAUCUUGUUUAAUUCAUAUGUGAGCUCUGCCAAUUCCCACUUUUGUAAUCCAAUCAAGAGUAUUAUCUAUUAUUACCAUGGAGGUGGCUUUCCCUGGUAUUUGGCUACUGGUCUCAUGCCAGAGAUUAACUUGACUCCUAAGGAAACUAUUCUCAGUACUUAGUACAGUAAGUCAGAGGAAGGUUGUUUCCAUAGUAACCACACAGGCUCCAAAUUUGCAACCUGUGGGUUUAAGCCUAAAUUAUUUACCCUGUGAAUUUUUAUUAAUAUAUUUAAUGUUUAAAGGUCUUGGCUUUACGUUAGUUAGAGAAUCAAGGAUGCAGGUGGGUGAAUUCUACCAGCCCUUGCUUCUAGGCAAGGGGUUUAUGGGCCCUGGCAAAGGGCGGGUCAUGGGUGGAAGUGGCUUAGUGAUAACUAGGACCCAGCAAAGGACAGCUGUGUCCACAUUUGUUAGGAGUAAAAGAUUCCCUAAUCUUGCUGAUAAUUAUGUGUACUCUGGCUCUGCAGGAGGGAGGCAGGAAGGAGGGUGGCUUAAAUCUGACCAUGAAUGGGGCAAAGUGUUGUUCUCAGUUCAGCUGACAGCUCUUCUGUCUCUCUCAGGUGCUCGGAGCAGGUCUAUGAUUUUCUACAGUGCCCAAGACUCGGCAGAAGAGUCUCCCUGACCCUGGGCUUCCUCAUUAUCCUCUGUUCUGUCCACACACAGAACCCACUGUCUCGUAGCCUUGCUCAUUAGCAAUGAAGGUGGUACUUUCUGGGCUCUCCCUAACCCCUCCCUUCAGAGGGUGUUUAUCCUAUGAUCCUUAGGCAUCAGGCACACAGCGGAGGUGACAGCCUAGUGCGAGCUGCCUGCUAAAGUGUUUCCAGGGCUUCACACUCUGGAGAAACAUUUGCUGAGAGAGAAUGAAAACCCUGUGUUAUGAUGCAGGGAUGGCGCAGUGGGUGCUCCGUGUGGCCCACAGCUCCCUCCGUGAUACACGCCAGGCUUCCAGUGUGGGUGGCUCUCAGCUCUGUCUCUUUCCAGGCAUUGCCCAGAGCAGGGGAAGCCUUGCUCAGGGUGGUACCCCUUCCCCAAGGGCAGCCUCUGACCCAACCGUGGAGGACUCCUAGUCCUGGCUCCCUAUCUCAAUGCAGACAACAUCGGAUGGCUGUUCAGCUUCGGAGCUCCCCAAAGCACCAUGCGAGGAUUCUGUGCAGCUGUAUCCAGGUAGCUCCUCUGAGUGUUGGGCCUGAGAGCACCCCUCAGUAAUCUUCCUGUGUGUGGACUUCCGUCUCAGGCUUGGCUGAGGAACGAUGGCCAGAGCUUGUCCAUGGACUGUGCCUCUCACAGCCAGAGGCUUUACCUACAGCAUCUCUCCUGGUCAACACAACCUGGAUCGGCCUGAAAUCAAAGCAUUGCUUAGCUGGGCGCCCCAGCAGCUUCUUCACUGGACUUUUGAGCCAUGGAUUCUGCUUUCUUUCAUCUUCCAUCACACACUGGUAGUGGUUAUCCUUAAAGAUAUUGUAAUACCUGUACUUGUUAAGGAAAUCUUGCUUGAGGAAAGUCUGAUUUUGUUUCUUACUGAAACUGGAUAAAACACAAACUCCUUAGGGUAGUUCACAAGGCUCUCCUCAACUCUGAAUUUCUCCUCUAAAAUUCUGCAUGGCAAAUACAAGGCACAGCAAUUUCUUUUCACUCCUCCAGGAGGAGAUGAAGACCUGCAUACAUCUCCUUUGUUUCUGGAUGGGCUUUGUGACUGCUUGUUGCCAAUAUAAUAUGGUGGGAGUGACACUUUGCCAGUUUCUGGUACAUUCCUUAAUGAGCUUCCAUUCCUGUCCUUAGCAUUUUACUUUUUAGAGAGCUCUGAGACCGCAUAAGAAUUUCAGCUCCCCGAGAAGACAGGUGCAGGGCUUCUGUUGAUAUCUCCUUUCCAUUGGUGCCCAAGCCUUUUAAAUCCAACCAUACUGAGAUGUGAGUCACUCAAGUGAAGCCACUAUGGGGGCACGGAGUGGACUGCCCACCUGGUGACCAUCAGUGAGGGGUACCAGUUGAUGUCCUUUGGUGUACAAGAUGCCAAGACUUGAGAAUUUCCCAAAUAUGUCCUGCUCAAAAAUGCCUGAUCCAUAAAAUCAUCAGCUCUAGUGAAAUAAUUGUUUCAAAUUUCUAAAUCUUAUAGGUAGUUUGUUAUGCAGCAAUAGAUCACUGAAACAACCUUCCAUCAGUCUUUUCAAGUAGCCCAGAUCUAGGGGCCUGUCCUCAGCUUCCUGAAGACAGUGAUCCUUGUAUUUUCUGUGACCUUCCUCACUAGAAAACUCCUUCUCCUGUUUCCAGGAUGCCUCAGAUGUUGGGUCUGCCCUGCAUCAUCAAUGAACCAGAAAAUGGAUGAAAGAAAUCCUUCCUGGUCCAUCCUACACUGUCAUGGGUUUUGAGCAUGACCUUGCCUUAGGGCAGGGUGCACUGAGAUUACUUAAGUACUCAUCUUCUUUUGUGGUCUGAUAAUUCAUGGAGGGAGGCACUGUUGCAGUCAGCAAGCAGGUCUGGUGGUGAGCACAGUCUGCUGCAUGGUAGGCAUCAUAUUUUCCUAUCACACCUUAUAUGUCCUAAGAUAAAAUCAGCACAAGGAUUGUCUGGGAGCUAGACUUGUCCUAGGUUGGCUGGUAGGUACACACCUGUAAUCCCAGCACUCAGGAGCCUGAGGCAGGAAGAUCGUUGUGAGUUCGAGAUCAGUGUGGGCUAUAAAGUGAGCUGAACGCCAGCCUGACUUGUAUAGUGAGACCCUGUCUCAAAAAAACAAAAAAAAAAUUGCUUGUGAGAUUACUGAAAUUUAUUUGUUACAUAAGAAAAAGGCAUCUGAAAUUUUAUAGCUCAUAUAUGAAACAUACUUGAUAGCACUGCUCUUGAAUUUCACAAUCCCCAAAUUUUCAUAACAUUUUGAAUAUUGAAUGUGAACCUAAAAGGAACUGCUAUAAACUGUCAAUAAAAUAAAUAUCUAAUUUUGCAUCUGA